rnacentral:snRNA from 1 species
GAAUGUGAGGGUGAUUUGACUGGCUAGGCUGCAGUGCCCUUCCUCCCUCACGCUCCAUCUUUAUCCUUGUCAAAGACGCAUGUUUGGUCAAAAAGGAUGAGCUUCUCCGAUAGAGGAGGACCAUUCUUUGGUCAAGGGUAUACCAGUAGCUGCUACCCCCUGGUAGAACCUCCAAACAAACACUCAGAAAUGGCAUUUCUUAAAACACAGAGUUGCUGGAGACCUUGAAUUUCUGUCAACAAAAUCUUCAGAAAACACAGCAAGCAUAUAUUU